rnacentral:rRNA from 1 species
GUAGGUGGCAAGCGUUGUCCGGAAUUAUUGGGCGUAAAGCGCGCGCAGGCGGUUCUUUAAGUCUGAUGUGAAAGCCCACGGGCUCAACCGUGGAGGGUCAUUGGAAACUGGAGAACUUGAGUACAAAAGAGGAAAGCGGAAUUCCACGUGUAGCGGUGAAAUGCGUAGAGAUGUGGAGGAACACCAGUGGCGAAGGCGGCUUUCUGGUCUGUAACUGACGCUGAGGCGCGAAAGCGUGGGGAGCAAACAGGAUUAGAUACCCUGGUAGUCCACGCCGUAAACGAUGAGUGCUAAGUGUUAGGGGGUUUCCGCCCCUUAGUGCUGCAGCUAACGCAUUAAGCACUCCGCCUGGGGAGUACGGCCGCAAAGGCUG